CAUUAGACGCUAUAAAAUCAAGGGUUAAAGUAACACAAUCAAAAGAAUAAACUUGAAAAGGUUAAAUAAAUACUAUAAUGAAAAAUAAGCAAGGGUGUUAAAUAGUUUCAUUUUUUAUGUAACUGACUCAAUUCAAUUCGAUGCAUUGUCAAAAUCAAACCAAUCACAUUUUAAAAGAUCUUAUUAGGUUUAUAAAUCCGUUAUCCAAAUUCCAAACAACAUUUUUCUCUUAUAAGUUUUUAUUCAAUUUGAUAAAAAACUUAACACUGAAUUGAAUAUUUAUCAUUACAUAUUUAUUUUAAUAAUUUUAAGAUUAGAGUUUUUUAUAUGUUUUAAAUUUGUAUUCAAAACUAUAUAAAAUUUGAAAUGAAAACAAAAUUAUUUAUUAAACGGUUUCAUGAUUUUAAUUUGAUUUUGACACCCUUAAAUCUAAGACUAAAUGCACGUUAAAACUAUGAUUGGGUCCCAACCUCCCUACGUUAGGCAAGUGACAACACUUCAUCUAUUAUCAACAGGUUAGGCUAGAACGAGAAUUCAAGGGGCUGGAGACAGAUGAAUAAUAGGGCGUUGGUUUGGUAGUCAUGAUAUUUAAAUCUGGCCAAUAUCUUAAGCCUUGAACCAGCUCCCUUGGACCAAAAAGUGAGUGGCCCAGGCCCUACUUCCAGAGUCGGGCCAUUAAACGUUUUUUGGUUCGGAGUGUUAAACUAGGGUUUGAUAUAAACACACUGAGAAGCGCCAAACUUCAUUUCAUACUCUUUUUGCAGCCGCUUCUGUAGAUCGAUCGGGAUUCUGAAGGAAGGCACCGGAAGGGUUUUCUCGACAGUUCAACAUGAGAGCUAAGUGGAAGAAGAAGCGCAUGAGGAGAUUGAAGAGAAAGCGCCGAAAGAUGAGGCAGAGAUCCAAGUAACUCGAGGUCUACUCAUGGUGGUUUAGCUCUUCGAAGUCCUUUUUUUUUUUUUUUUUUUUUCAUUUUUUAUCUUGCUGUUGAUUCCCCCCUUCUACUUAACUGGGAAGGAUAGAGACCGUGGCUAUUGUAUUUUUAUUAGCAUUUUGUGGAUUUAAGUUUCGUGCAGACUCAAUUACCUGAGAAUGUGAUUUUGUUAUGACGAUUUAGCUCCAACUUCCACUAAUACAUGCUAAUGAAUAUUUUUUCACAAA